rnacentral:rRNA from 1 species
GUGGCGAACGGGUGAGUAACACGUGGGCAAUCUGCCCUGCACUCUGGGACAAGCCCUGGAAACGGGGUCUAAUACCGGAUAUUGACCUUCACGGGCAUCUGUGAGGUUCGAAAGCUCCGGCGGUGCAGGAUGAGCCCGCGGCCUAUCAGCUUGUUGGUGAGGUAAUGGCUCACCAAGGCGACGACGGGUAGCCGGCCUGAGAGGGCGACCGGCCACACUGGGACUGAGACACGGCCCAGACUCCUACGGGAGGCAGCAGUGGGGAAUAUUGCACAAUGGGCGAAAGCCUGAUGCAGCGACGCCGCGUGAGGGAUGACGGCCUUCGGGUUGUAAACCUCUUUCAGCAGGGAAGAAGCGAAAGUGACGGUACCUGCAGAAGAAGCGCCGGCUAACUACGUGCCAGCAGCCGCGGUAAUACGUAGGGCGCAAGCGUUGUCCGGAAUUAUUGGGCGUAAAGAGCUCGUAGGCGGCUUGUCACGUCGGUUGUGAAAGCCCGGGGCUUAACCCCGGGUCUGCAGUCGAUACGGGCAGGCUAGAGUUCGGUAGGGGAGAUCGGAAUUCCUGGUGUAGCGGUGAAAU